rnacentral:tRNA from 1 species
AAAUUUUUAGUUUAUUUAAAAUAAAAUUUUUCAUUUACAUUGAAAAGAAAAUAAUUUUUAUUAAAAUUUA